GUAACGGGGUGACAGGGCUGGGGGGACUGGGGGUCACAGGGGAAGGUAGCAGGGGUGGGGGUGCCAGGGCCAGGGGUGGGUGCCAGGUGGCACUGGAAGGUGCCCAGGUGGGUGACAGGCCCGGGAGUGGCACUGGAAGGUGCCCAGGUGGGUGGCACUGGAAGGUGCCCAGGUGGGUGGCAGGCCCGGGGGUGGCAGUGUAAGGUCCCCAGGCGGGUGACAGGGCAGGGAGGUGGCACUGGAAGGUGCCCAGGUGGGUGGCACUGGAAGGUGCCCAGGCAGGUGACAGGCCCAGGAGUGGCACUGGAAGGUGCCCAGGCGGGUGGCAGGCCCGGGGGUGGCACUGGAAGGUGCCCAGGCGGGUGGCAGGCCCGGGGGUGGCAGCGGGUGGC